CUUGUACUCCCUCCGUCCGAAAAUACUUGUCAUUGAAAUGGAUGUAUCUAGAUGUAUUUUAGUUCUAGACACAUCCAUUUUGAUGACAAGUAAUUCUGGACAGAGGGAGUACUUG
rfam:Triticum aestivum genome assembly, contig: Triticum_aestivum_CS42_TGACv1_scaffold_616881_7DL